rnacentral:rRNA from 1 species
GAUGAACGCUGGCGGCGUGCCUAAUACAUGCAAGUCGAGCGAACAGAUGAGGAGCUUGCUCCUCUGACGUUAGCGGCGGACGGGUGAGUAACACGUGGAUAACCUACCUAUAAGACUGGGAUAACUUCGGGAAACCGGAGCUAAUACCGGAUAAUAUAUUGAACCGCAUGGUUCAAUAGUGAAAGACGGUUUUGCUGUCACUUAUAGAUGGAUCCGCGCCGCAUUAGCUAGUUGGUAAGGUAACGGCUUACCAAGGCAACGAUGCGUAGCCGACCUGAGAGGGUGAUCUGCCACACUGGAACGGAGACACGGUCCAGACUCCUACGGGAGGCAGCAGUAGGGAAUCUUCCGCAAUGGGCGAAAGCCUGACGGAGCAACGCCGCGUGAGUGAUGAAGGUCUUCGGAUCGUAAAACUCUGUUAUUAGGGAAGAACAAAUGUGUAAGUAACUAUGCACGUCUUGACGGUACCUAAUCAGAAAGCCACGGCUAACUACGUG